rnacentral:rRNA from 1 species
GUACACUCCUACGGGAGGCAGCAGUGGGGAAUCUUGCGCAAUGGGCGAAAGCCUGACGCAGCCAUGCCGCGUGAAUGAUGAAGGUCUUAGGAUUGUAAAAUUCUUUCACCGGGGACGAUAAUGACGGUACCCGGAGAAGAAGCCCCGGCUAACUUCGUGCCAGCAGCCGCGGUAAUACGAAGGGGGCUAGCGUUGCUCGGAAUUACUGGGCGUAAAGGGAGCGUAGGCGGACAUUUAAGUCAGGGGUGAAAUCCCGGGGCUCAACCUCGGAAUUGCCUUUGAUACUGGGUGUCUUGAGUAUGAGAGAGGUGUGUGGAACUCCGAGUGUAGAGGUGAAAUUCGUAGAUAUUCGGAAGAACACCAGUGGCGAAGGCGACACACUGGCUCAUUACUGACGCUGAGGCUCGAAAGCGUGGGGAGCAAACAGGAUUAGAAACCCGGGUAGUCCCA